rnacentral:rRNA from 1 species
GACGAACGCUGGCGGCGUGCUUAACACAUGCAAGUCGAGCGGUAAGGCCCUUUCGGGGGUACACGAGCGGCGAACGGGUGAGUAACACGUGGGUGACCUGCCCUCAGCUCUGGGAUAAGCCUGGGAAACCGGGUCUAAUACUGGAUAUGACUCCAUGACGCAUGUUGUGGGGUGGAAAGCCUUGUGCGGCUGAGGAUGGGCCCGCGGCCUAUCAGCUUGUUGGUGGGGGAUGGCCUACCAAGGCGACGACGGGUAGCCGGCCUGAGAGGGCGACCGGCCACACUGGGACUGAGACACGGCCCAGACUCCUACGGGAGGCAGCAGUGGGGAAUCUCGCGCAAUGGGCGAAGGCCUGACGCAGCGACGCCGCGUGAGGGAUGACGG